GCAACUGCCAUCGGUUAUCGCUCAUCAUUUUUAGCGCACGGCUCUCUGAGCCAUUUCCCUGGACCGGUCACUGGAGUUGUGUCCGGUCUUUUUUU
rnacentral:sRNA from 1 species